rnacentral:rRNA from 1 species
AUAAAUAUUUUGGCCUGGAACUGUCGAGGGUUGGGGUUGGACUCGACAGUUGGCGAGCUUCAUGACCUGAUUAGGUCCUACAACCCAACGGUGGUUUUUCUUUCGGAAACGAAGAAGAAGGCGAGAGCAAUGGAGAAACUUAUGUGGAGGUUGGGGUUCAGGAGUGGUGUAGCCGUGGACAGCCAGGGCUUAAGUGGUGGUUUGGCUUUGUGGUGGAGGGAAAGUGUGCAGGUAACUGUGAGGCCUUGGUGCCAAUAUUUCAUUGACACAGAGAUGGUGUGGGAGGGAAAAACCUAUAGAUUCACUGGUUUCUAUGGAGAGCCCAAGGGAUCUUCGGAAAAAGUCAUGGGAUGCGAUUCGGUACUUAUGGGCUCAAGACAAUCUUCCUUGGAUUUGCGUUGGAGACUAUAA